UACGUAGGGGGCUAGCGUUGUCCGGAAUCAUUGGGCGUAAAGCGCGUGUAGGCGGCCCGGUAAGUCCGCUGUGAAAGUCGGGGGCUCAACCCUCGGAUGCCGGUGGAUACUGUCGGGCUCGAGUACGGAAGAGGCGAGUGGAAUUCCUGGUGUAGCGGUGAAAUGCGCAGAUAUUCGGAAGAACACCAGUGGCGAAGGCGGCACACUGGCCCAUUACUGACGCUGAGCU
rnacentral:rRNA from 1 species